ACAAUUCCAUCCGGGUUACAAUCAUGCAAACCAUAAACAACCCAACAACAUAAAAUCAUAAUAAGUCUAUUUGAAAUUUCUAAUAUAACAUCAAUUGAUUCCUGUCUAGAGCACGACCAUCACCAUUUUUAUAACUCGGACAUGUCUAUGCAACCACCAACAAAACAAUCACCAACACAAUUAAAAUUUGUGUCCAUCCUUUUUAUUUUACAAUCUUUCCUUCAAUUUUUUUUUAAACAACCAACUAUUUAUUCAUAGUUUCUAGUUGUUUCUAUCUUAAAUUAAAAAGGUCUACAUUCUUCCUAUACAACUUAUCUAUUGCACUCAAAACUUGUUUUUACUCUUUCACUUCUCGUAUCAAAAGCUCUCAAUUUCUCUGCAACUAGUUUUUCCAUUUCAACUUUCAUUUUCAAUUGCUCUUGCAAACAUCCCUUUGGUUCUUCAUUCUCAGAAAUACCCUUUUAUGGUAAGGGGACAAGUCAGAAUCGAGCUAUUAGAAAAACUCACAAUCAUUAUACGGAUUCAUAGAAAAAAAAUUUGAGUAAAGUGUAUAUCCAAAAUAACCUAAAAAAAGGAACAAAACAAAAAUUACAGCUUCAAACUCUUACCUUUCUAACAUGACAACAAAAAAUCUUCUUCUUGGGUUGUCUUCUAUCCAAGAUGUCAAUAAUUCAGCAUCAAGAUUGUGACUGCAUUUCAUUGUUGGGUCGAGCUAGUAUAGGAAACAACUGAGCAUGAUCUUCGUGAGGUUCUUGACUGCAAGCUGGAAGAAGACAUUUUUAGUAGUUUUUCCUUACAGAAUGAGCAAUAAAUGAUUAUAGGGUUUGUUACAAUAGUUAGUGAAAAGUAUUGGUAAGAAAAAAAGAGAAGAUUGAUAUAAAAUAGAGUUAGUAUUAGGUUUUC
rnacentral:lncRNA from 1 species